GUUCCUCCUCGCUUGGAAAAUACUUUCUAACUCCCCUGCCUUUAUGACUGACUGGCGUAAGUCCAAUGUCUCAGUAGUAUCAUAUUUCUGUCUGCAUGCCUUAGUGUUCACAGCUAAACUAAUCAUGGCAACUAGAGUCAGUUAAGUACCUGAAUGUCUGGAUGGAUGAAGGAACACUACCGGGGAUGAAUUUCUCUCCUUUAACGCUAACAUCCACGUAAAUAGGCUAGGUCAGAUCAUCCCCACCUUUUGCAGUGCUGCUAUGCUGAUGGGCAUUAUCAUGCCUCUUACACGGAGCACUUUGGGGGGUCUGAUUUUUACCCUCUUUUGCUCAAACUGUGUACACAGCAGCUGCUAUGAGAUAGCGAGUAAUGGAGCAGAUGGCACUUACUGGACAGAAGUGGCUGCUGUCCAACAAAUACAAUUUUCCACCAAAUAAGCAGACUGUCAUGCCACGUCACCGUAAUUCUUCAAUAUUUAAUUAAAAACCAAAACAACUUAAUAUUUAAAUCCUGUCAAGAAAACUAAUUGGAUACAGGGACCAGCUGCUGGAGAAGUUUGGAUGUCAACUUCAAAUGAUUUUAUGCAAAUUGCAGAAAGAACAGCACUGCCAUCACCACCUCUCCUGUUAAUAAAUCCCGUCGUGGACUCUGCGCCUCUCCCACCCAGCUCACGGGGACAAGCUGCCACGUGCAAGCCCUGCUCUAUGCAAGUCAGGGCUGCCUGCUGCUGGGAUGGAAGGGGCCACCAGGGGCCAUUUCAUCACUUGCCCACUCGCACUGCUGUAAAUUGCGUGUAACUGCAGGCUGCACGUUGACACGGAGGUGGUGUCAGGGAGAACAGGGCUUGGCAACCUCAGGAAGAAUUAGAUAAGCUGCAAAGCAGAGGGGCGAUCAGGAGGUGAUGAAAGAAGCACAGUAGGAAAUUCUGGGCUGCAGAGUUUGACAGUUUUACAGAAGCCUUUUUCCUUUCCUUUUUUUUUUUUCUUUUUUGUUCUUUUUUUUCCAGAGAUUAUAUUUCCAGCGCUGGUGUGGUCUCAUGGAAUAGCUACAAAGAGAAGAGCUGGCCCAGCUUCCCCUGUUUCCACUGCAUGGCCCCCUCCUCGGAGGACUUACUUGUGAAUUACACUUACAGAAGUGAGAAGAGAUUCAAGCUGCACAUUUACAGCUACACUGAGAGGGGAGCAGGGGCCGGCAACACCAGUUGGUGGUUUUGGCACUGGGGCUGCUCCCGCAAAGCUGUAUUCCCCACUUCACUAUUGCAUGGCUGCAGAGCAGAACCCAGCUCAUAAUGGCUUCCCUGCUUCACAGAGUACUUAAAUAUGAUCUUUACUUGCAACAACUUCAUUGCAGCACUUAAAGCUAAGCAGAUGCUCCAAUGUUUUUCUGAGCCAGGUCCUUGGCUUGAUAGCAUUUUGUACAUGAGGUCAAAGUUAAUAAGCGCCAGGCCCACUACAUGACAAAGUGAGAAUUACCCAUUUGCCGAGAUGUAGAAAUGUCAUUUAUAAUUCAGGUCUUUCAAGGGAAGGAUAAUUGUUCAAUUUUGCACUGCUGUAUGAGAGAAAACAAAAGCAGGUUAUGUGUUUGUGUGCUCUGCGCUUUUUGGCUUUAUGUAGUAUUGCUUUAUAAAUUACUCCAGGUUUUCGGGGGAUUGAAAUCCACCUGAUACCAUAAAACGCUGCAUAUGAAGUAAUGCUGCAAUAGCCGUUGGCUUUUGUGGAAGUGCUAUUCUUGCUCCAGACUUUCUCCAUGGUCCUGGUCAUGCUGAGUGCCCAUUAAUUACAUGCUAACUUCAUGCCACAGCAUAGAGGCUGAUGAUAGAUGAUCCCAUGCCAGCAGGAUCUGUACUUGCUGGUCACUCGAGUGCCUUGCCAAUGAGGUUCCAUUUCUGUUUACUCAGUUAAUGAGGAUCAGUAUUAUGAAACGCAUGGCGAGGAUUUGGUAUACAUUAGCAGUUAACAGAGAUAAUUGAGUGGAAGGAAAACUCGUUUCCGAUGUCACAAGAUGUCUCUUGCAAUAAAGCAUUUGGAAUAUAAUGUUUAAUAUUUCAUUUAGUGCUUACGGAGAUUUGUGCACCAGUUAAUACAUAUUGUUUGUGAAAUCACAAUUGCUUACAGAUACUGCCCUAUUAUACUGGGUGAAGCCUUCCACUCCAUUUGUCUUGGCCAUCCAGUCUUACAAAUUCUCCAAACAGGUCAUCAGGUAGAUAUCUGGUGCCAGGAUUUGAGUAUGUAUUUUUCUGUCUCUACAUCUAGACUCCUGAAAAGAUAAUAAAGUCUCUUCCUUUUUAUUUAUUCAUUUUAUCCCCCUCCGUAAUCCUAAGCUCUGAAAUCAGUGGAAGCUGAAGACUGAGCGAUUUUACAAGUUAGUUGGCUGAACUAUGCUAUGGCACUCAUAUGUAUAGCAGAUCAAUAGAGACGUGCCAAGAAAUGACACUCAAAGCAGUUUGCAUAAUUUCUGGACUUAGUAGGACCACUAUAAUUCCUGUUGUGAGUUGUACAGGCUUUUUUUUGUUGCCUAUCGACACCCCUCUUUGUCACCUUUAACAGUCUUGGCUUGGAUAUGGGAAAACAGCUGGCAAACUAAGACUGUUCACCUGGUUGUUUGAUCACCCAUCUUCUGAUUUAAUAACUUUCAUCAAUACGUAUUUUUAUUUUCAAAAAAAGAAGCUUUAGACUCAACUGAGAGAGCGUUUUACCAUGUUUUUUUCAGCAAGUCAUCAUAUCAUUUUAAACUGAAAAGAUUUGUUCACUCACAGGUGUAUUUACUCUUCUGGCAUGGAGAACCUUGAGAAUAAGAGAAAAUAAGAAUACGGUGGGGGAAAUAAACAGUACUUUUAUGUAUAGAAAUAAAUAAUGUCUAAGAAUCCUCUGGCCUCCUACUUGAGUAGACUGAAAUCCUAGAAGCUUCUUAUAUGCAUUGACUGACUAAAAAUAGAGAGCAUAUAUCACAUUAUCAUUCAUACAAAACUGCCUGCACAGACUGUGUAUUCCCUAAGCUGCUGCAGGCAGGGAGGAUGUUCUGUGGCAGUAACAGUGUGUGUGAGUGUUCUCUUUCCUUGCUUUGGCUCAGAAGUAGGGUACUGGACAACAUGCCCCUUUGGGCUGGUGUGUUGCAACCAAUGGUAGCUUUGUAAGCUUGAAAACUCAAGUUGCUAGUCAAAAUGCUGGCAAUUAUUUCAGUAGUAGUAGCACUUUUGAAGUAUUAAUCAAAGCUACAGAGAAAGAAAAUGUGCGAGACUAGAAAAUAAAGCAGUUAAACUUCUGGUUUUGUAUGCUUCAUAUGGUGUACUUUGCAUCAUUUAGAGCACUAACAGGUGAGUGCACGUCGUGGAGUUGUCCUGUCGCCAAAGAGAUGCUGCUGAGAGCAUCUGGGAGCCUCCAGACUGCUGGCACACAUUGUGUGGCAGCACACAUUGUGCUGGCAGUGGGGAGACUACAUGGGCUUGUAGGUGAAGAGAGGGGUGUGAUUUGUUACACUGGGUAGAAAAGUCAUGAGGGAGCAGUCCUGGUGAGGAAGGAUCCAGACUAUGGCUUAGAGUACCCACUGGGGAUCAGCCUUGGUGUAAUACAGCAUGAAAAGAUGAUGAGAGCUGGGCCUUCUGAUGUUACGUUUGACAUUUUUACUGCAGGAA
ensembl:lncRNA